CCACACUGGUCAGGCUGGUCUCGAACUCCUGACCCCAUGUGAUCUACCUGCCUCGGCCUCUCAAAGUGCUGAGUUUAUAGGUGUGAGCCACUGCACCUGGCCCUAGCUUUUGAUACUGUCAUUUCCCUUUGGGCCUGAGACUCUUCUAGUCAAUCCUGGUCUCAGUGUUUGCCUGACAGGUACCAUGUUUUUUUUAAAAAACAGUGAAAUUUGGGAUAUAGUGUAGACUCUCUAGUAACUGUUAACCUCUUAAUACAGGUCCAGUUUCCAUAAACAAUAGUAUACUACUUUGACUCCUUUUGACUUGGUUUCAAGGCAACCUGGAGGUGGAAGAGGGUAUAUUGGGUGGUUGGUUUAAAUGUUACUAUUACUGAGAAACCAGUUUAUUUUCAUGUUUAUACUGAAGAUGUAGCCUCCCAAAUUUUACAAUUUAGGUGUUUCUCUAAGAAUAGUAUUAUUAGUUAAUACCUAACAUUUGAGUGUUUGCUGUGUGUCAGACCCUGUGUGUUUAGUGCUGCAUUAUUUUAUGUAAUCAUUAUGACAAUCCUAUGAGGUGUAGGGUUUAUAAUUGAGGAAUCUGGAACUUAGAAGAUAACUAAGAGCAGAUUGUGUGAAAAGCGUUGAAACACUGAACUAAAGCUGUGAUGUGGAGAUGAAGACGAGACAGAUACACAUUGAAAAGAUAAAAUUGAAGAAUUGACACAGUUGAAUUGAUAGGAAUUUAUAAACAGCCACAAAAAGAUCAUGGCAAAGAGGUUAAGGUUUAGAAGGUCACCCUGGGAUCUGUAAAAUGAAAAGUUAGAAGAGUUGUGAGGUACACCAUCAUUUAAGAAUCUUGAAGACUGCCUAAGAAGGCAUGAGCAGCAAGGUAGGACAGCCAGAAGAGUGGUAGAAACCAAGGGAAAAAUUUCAAGAAUAAAAGAAUGGUCAACCCUGUCAUACCACAAUUGAAGACUGAAGAGAGCCCAAGUGAUGUUAGGAAAAGAGCAUCUCAGUGGAGUGGUGGAGGCAGCAGGGACACGCUGAGUAUACACUAAUGGCCACAGACUGCAGAAGAGGCUAUGAAGUCAUAAAGCCAGAAGAAACCCUGAGAGGCCAUCCACCCCAGGUACAAUUGUUUUAUAAUUCUUUCAAGUAUUUUAUUUGCCCUAUGUAAAUGUCAUUGGAAUAUUGCACAGACAGUGGGUUUCUUGAUAUUAUUUGCAGUAGACCCUUUCAACAAAACAGGAACAAGUGAAAUACAUUCAUAUUUAAACCAAACUGCUUCAAAACAUACCUCUUUACCAAAAAUUCUGCUGUACUAAAAUUAAGGAGUUUUUUUAAAUAUUAUAUAUGAGGCAGGUCCUCUUUGAAAGACAAUUAAAAAUGGGGUUAAAAGGAAUUGUUCACUUCAAAAUACAGUUAAAGCAUUAUAAGUAGCUAUAUUAAAACCGAGAGAUCUGCCAACUAUUUUUAGUCUAAUACAUUCCAUUUUUUCACUAGCUUUGUAAACUCCUUGUCAUAAUAAAGCUGGUCAAUUAACACUAUUUGUUCUAAGUAAAUGCAGGCUUAGUAGGCCCCUCAGUAGUUUCAGGUCACAAACAAGAUCGAUUCAAGUAAAAAUGGCCAUUUUAAGUGGGGAUAAAGUAGUAAAUAUGGGCUAAUGAGAAAACUCGAGACAUUGUUCAAUGAUGAGAACUGGAGUAAUUUAAGAGUAAACUUCUAAGAUUUAGUUUGUCUGGAACAUUUUCUAAAAAUAAUGUCUUUGAUUAAAAUAUUUGAGAAAUCUGUAGAAACAUAUGCCUCCCAUUGCCGAUACUGGACAGACACCCCCUGCUGAUUUUAACGAAUCAUAAAGACUCUUAAUGGAGUCUUCCUUACUCCUCACAAGAGUCAUUGCUAAGAUGAAGUAAAAAACACUUCUCUUUUUAUGGCUCAAUUUCCCAAUUCGGCAAUUUCUGUGGCGUUGUCAGUGUAAGGUGGUAAUAUUCAGUGCAUCUUUUAAAUAAAGGAAGCUUUGCUUGAGUCCCUGAAAGGAAACAAAUUAGUUUCACUCUGCAACAGAACCUCAGCCUGACAUGUAGGUUUGCUGGUGCCAACUGCUUAAUUCCAACCAAACGGUGGGUGGGUGCAGGUUACCUGCUGAAAGCUUCUCAACUCAACUGACUUAAUCAAGUUCUUGCAAAAGAUUAAUUGCUGUUCCACAGUCUCAUAGAUAAGAUAUUCUUGAAGACUGGAAACACAUUUAAACAAUGGGAAAAGCAAAGGAAUUAGGCUAGGAGAAGAUGAAUAAAUGCACACAAUGCCUGCUCUGCAUUUACUGAUUUGUUUGUUCAGUUUAAAUAGUAAACUUUUAACUCCUGUGGAAAUUUUGCCAAAAGUUUCAAUACAUAGAAGAUUAUAAAUCUUAAACUAACACUGCACAGAGAAAGACAAAGCUACUUCUUUUUUUAAAUACAAAUAUCGUCUACAUUCUAUCAUUUCAAACCCCUGAGUAAUACUGUACCAAAGUACAGAUUUGAAGAGAAACUGAGGGUUCAGGCCUCAAACGUUAAUCUUCAGUUAAUUCCACACCAAUGGCAUGAGUCUCAUGUAACACAUUCAGUCUAGUUAAUGCUGACAGUUUCCCCCUAACAUAGUGUAAUAGAAAAAAAUAAUGCAAACUCCAUAUUCACUCUCCAAAGUAUAUCCUCCUCAGGAUCCCAUGGGCAGACCAUAUCUUAAGUAAUUGCAUAACUACCUAGGGUAGAGUUUACCUGAAUUUAAGGGUCCUGUAAAUGGAAGUGAAGGAAAGUGAUGUCCCCAAAGACUUGGAUCAGAUUUGGGGAGUUCUUUGGAGAAUUUAGACAAGUAUGUUGCACUUUGCUCCACAGUGAUUGUACUUUAAAGGAAAAAAAAAAUCCCAAAUUGUUUCUGUCCCACCCCACUUAGGCAUCUUUUUGCUGUUUUUGCUCUCUUCAAAAGCUCAUACAUGACGUCCAGUAAGAAAGUAGAGAGGCUUGUCUUCACUGCUGUUAGCAGUUUGAAACUCGUCCCGGAGGCGGAACUGCCACUCAUCUUCUAGCUCUAAGCGGACAAUCGUUUGGCGCAAGGAACUUCUGUCUUGGCAGAUGACACACAGGGUAGCACCUUCAGAAAAAAAGACAGAAAUACAUCCUAGGCUCAGGGAUUGAGUAUGUAAAGAACUUUACUAUCUCUGAUUAUAUUUUCUAAGCUAAUACAUCUGAGAACCAACAGAUGGGUACAUAAUCUAUCAGAAUUAAUUUUAUUAAGUAGUUUUGCAAAUUCAGUUUUUGUGUGUGUGUGUGUGUGUGAGUGAGACGGAGUCUUGCUCUGUCACCAGGCUAGAGUGCAAUGGCGUGAUCUCG